UAGGGAAUAUUGCGCAAUGGGGGAAACCCUGAUGCAGCGACGCCGCGUGAGUGAUGAAGGCCUUCGGGUCGUAAAGCUCUGUCGUAUGGGACUAACAAAAUGAAGGUACCAUGCAAGAAAGGAUCGGCUAACUUCGUGCCAGCAGCCGCGGUAAGACGAGGGAUCCUAGCGUUGUUCGGAAUUAUUGGGCGUAAAGCGGGUGUAGGCGGACUUAUAAGUCAGGUGUGAAAUCCCAGGGCUCAACCCUGGAAGUGCACUUGAUACUGCAAGUCUUGAGUGUGGUAGAGGCUAUUAGAAUUCCUGGUGUAGUGGUGAAAUACGUAGAUAUCAGGAGGAAUACCGGAGGCGAAGGCGGAUAGCUGGGCCAACACUGACGCUGAGACCCGAAAGCGUGGGGAUCAAACAGGAUUAGAUACCCAGGUAGUCCCUGAGCGGGCUGGCAAGGCGCAU
rnacentral:rRNA from 1 species